GGCUCGGUGGCGGAUGGUCCGCGCCUGCGUCCAAUGUAGGAGUAUGUAAGUAACUACGUCUCGCAGGAAGCGCUCGUUCGACUCGAGCCCGGGCCU